CAAUUUUUCUACAAUGAGCAUGAAUUACUUUUGUAUCCAGAAUUUUAUCUGCUUUUUCUAAGAGAACAUGUGCAGCAUGAUCUGCUCACAUUAUCAGGAACGACCCAGACUGAGCGGGCAAGUCCCAGCCAGGGCUUCCGUUUCCUGGGCACCUGGGCCUGGUUAGUGCGGGAACCUUGGCAAACAACUCUCAGGUUAACUCUUUCUUCAGAAGAGAGGAGGAGGUGGUGCCACAGGGACCUUCUGCUGAGGGCUGCCGGUAGGAGUGCGGUCGCUAUCGUGAGUCCCGUCACCCUGGGUACCUACUGCGGAGAUCUGGGGAGUUCUUGUCUUCCAGGCAGGUGUGCGUCGUGCCUCGUGCCUUGUGCUUCGGAAGCCUACCCGGCCACAGCAGACAUCUAGGCAGGCAGGCCCACAGGGACGGCCUCCUUACCGUCCUGGCUCCCUGAUGACAUCCCUGCAGGCUUCCCUCUUGAAUCAGCCACUGCGAAGUGAGGGCUAGGAGAGAACAGACGACACUUCUUGCCCCGACCGGUCUUCCCUUCCUGUUCUUUCCACCUUUGGCCGAGACACCACACAGAAGUGCAUUUUGGUUCUGUUUACAUUCUCGUCAGAAGGCGUGCUCACUUCCAGGCAGCGCUUCUCACACAGUGAGGGACGUAAAGAUCAUCUGGGGCCCUUGUUAAAGCACAGGUUCCGACUCGGUCAUUCUAAGGUGGAGCCUGAGACCGGGCCUUUCUAAGAAGCCCCUGAUCCCACGGGAUGGAAGGGGCCCAGUCCUGUAUUCUAGGCUUAGUGGGAUACUGCCGAAUCUGUGAAGAGGAUCAGAACUCCAGUGUCAGAAUUAAUCACUGCUCCCUUCGUUUCCCCAACACCUCGCUCAGACCUUGAUACAGCUGCUGACAGCUGGACUCGCCUGCACCUCUGCCGCCCCGGGGCUGCUGGACAAAUCAUCUUUGGAGCCCUAAUACCUGGCAUGGGGGAUGCUCAGCAGCUUUUUUGAAUAAAGGAA
rnacentral:lncRNA from 1 species